AUUGCAAAAUCAGACAUAUUGUUUUAUGAUUCAUGGUUCUCACAAUUUUGUUUCCGGUUUUCUUCAAAGUAAUAUUUUGCAGGUUGUUGCCUCUUGAAAUGAGCAAAUUGACCUGGGCACUUCUCAUGACUCAGCUUUCAGGUAAAUCAUUUUCUAUGACUGCCAGUGUAGAUCAUGUCAUGAUUAACGUGGCUUUUUCUUGAGAAUAUUACCACUCCUUCACUUACGGCAUCAGCAGAGAAUGUUGCAAAUGGAGUAUAAACACUGCAACCUCGUCAAAAAAGACCUCUCGGAAGAUCAUUUGCCGAACAAAUUGUUCUAUAUGCAAAGAAAUUUCAACAUCUAUACGAAGUUCAGGAGACGGAUCC